CAUAUGUAUAUGUCCUCUUCCAGGUUCUCUUUUGUUACACAUUUUUACAAAACAGUGACUUUAAUUCCCUGUGCUAUACCAAGGGGCCUUGUUGUUUAUCUGUGUUAUAUACAAUAGUGUGUAUCUGUUCAUCCAAGCUCCUAAUUUAUCCCUCUCAUAUUUCCCCUUUGGUAACCAUAAGAUUGUUUUCUAUGUCUGUGAGUCUAUUUCUAUCUUGUAAAUGAGUUUGUUUGUAUCAUUUUUUUUUUUUUUAGAUUUCACAUUUAAGUUAUAUCAUAUGAUUUUUGUCUUUAACUUACUUCCUUAGUAUGGUAAUCUCUAGGUGCAGCCAUGUUGCUGGAAAUGACAGUAUUUCAUUGUAUUUUAUGGCUGAGUAGCAUAUACAAUGGUACAUCUAUCUACACAUGUGUAUAUAUUUAUUCAUUCGUUGAUGGAUAUUUUCAUUGCUUCCAUGUCUUGGCAACUGUAAAUAAUGCUCCUACACUGUUGGUGGGAAUGUAAAUUGAUGCAGCCGUAGUGGGGAGCAGUAUGGAAGGUUCUUUAAUGGAAAUUUGCUGUGUGGCUCAGGAAACUCAAACAGGGGCUCUGUAUCAACCUAGAGGGGUGGGAUGGGGAGGGAGAUGGGGGGAGUUCCACAAGGGAGGGGAUAUAUGUAUACUAAUGGCUAAUUCAUGUUGAGAUUUGACAGAAAACAGCAAAAUUCUGUAAAGCAAUUACCCUUCAAUAAAAAAUAAAUUAAUUUAAAAAAUAGAGUUAUCAUAUGAUCCAGCAAUCCUACUCCUGGACAUAUAUCCAGAAAGGAUGAAAACUCUAAUUACAGUAAAAAAUACAUACACCCUAAUGUUCAUAGGAAUCCAGGAACCUUGAUUGGCCUGUUCAUAGCUUCCUUUGCACCCUAGAUUCCACAUGUGUCCAAGAUGGAGAGUGUGAGGCUGAGUUUCCACCUGACGGCUUUGAAGAGAAACCAGAGAAAGAAAAGAAACAAGCCAAUUUCACUUUGUGCAGUGUGUGUAACAUUCAGCUGAAUUCGACUGCUCAAGCCCAAAUCCACUACAAUGGCAAAUCACAUCAAAAGAGGUUAAAACAGCUCAGCACCGGGCUGGUGAAAAACGACACUGAAAUUCAGGAUAGCAGAUUCCCAUCACCCAUCAAAACCGUAAUGUCUGGAGUUGGACUGUUGAAAUCUCAACACUAGACCUGCAACCCUUUGUUGGAUCGUGUGCAAGUUAUUCAGCCUAAUUGAUGCUUUUCAACUGUGGUGCUGGAGAAAGCUCUUGAGAGUCCCUUGGACUGCAAGGAGAUCCAACCAGUCCAUUCUGGAGGAGAUCAGUCCUG
rnacentral:lncRNA from 1 species